rnacentral:rRNA from 1 species
UACGGAGGAUGCAAGCGUUAUCCGGAAUGAUUGGGCGUAAAGCGUCCGCAGGUGGCAAUGUAAGUCUGCUGUUAAAGAGUGAGGCUCAACCUCAUAAGAGCAGUGGAAACUACAUAGCUAGAGUACGUUCGGGGCAGAGGGAAUUCCUGGUGUAGCGGUGAAAUGCGUAGAGAUCAGGAAGAACACCAGUGGCGAAGGCGCUCUGCUAGGCCGUAACUGACACUGAGGGACGAAAGCUAGGGGAGCGAAUGGG